ensembl:lncRNA
CUCGGAGCGCGGGCCCCGCCGGCAGCGCCCUGGCAGCAGCGGCCAAGCUGGCAGCGGCACCGCCAAUACCGAGGGCGGGAGGGCGCCCGCAACCGCGAGGCCUCCAAGGGCCGCGGGCGGAACGGCGAUGGCGCCGAGCCCCUUCCCCCGAGAGGGCAAGCGGAGCAGCAUCCGCGGGCGUCGCCGCUAGAGCGCCUCGGCCACGGCCACGGCCACGGCCACGGCCACGUCCAGCAGCGGCAGCCGCACGGAGCCCGACUCCAAGGUGCGUGUUGGCCGCUCGCGCUUGUGGGAAGGAGCCGCCGUCCGCCUACCCAGAGCCGCCACAGGCCCUCGCGACAAGGUGGAGCAGAGCUCAGUGCUGUAGACUGCGCUCCCUCAGUCCCUGGGCCGGGCCUUCAUGCCAGCCUGGGCUCGCACAGCGCCCUGCGGGCCCUCUGAGCCGCCGCUCACCCACCCCCUACAGCCAGGUGCUCAGUUGGUCUGUGAAAUCCCGAAGCAGAAGUCCAUACUCCUCCAGGCAUUCAAGGUCUCUCAGCAGGUACAGAUUUUCUAGAUCCCAGAGUCGUCAUUCUAGCAUUUCUCCUAGCACACUGACUCUGAAGAGUAGCCUGGCCGUCCAGUUGAACAAGAAUGAAAAAGCAAGAGCUGCAGAGACAGCUGCAGAAGCUGCAGAACCCUCUAGCACGUCUACACCAACCAAGGGGACACAGAAACUGGAGCCAGCACAUCGCAAACCAACCAUGUGAAGGACGUGAAGAAAUAAACUGAGCGUGCCCCUUCUCCCUCAAGUAGUGGAACUUUCAAUACAAAAUGACAAGGCGAAAACAAAGCCACCUCUUCAAGUUACAAAGGUAGACAAUAAUUUGAUUGUAGAUAAAGCCACCCAGAUAACAGCUGUCGUUGGGAAGGAGAGGAAAUCUGCUGCUACAAAGGGUGAACCUUUCAGUAUCUCUCAAAAGAGAAAACCAAACCACUGAAACCAAGCGUGGGAGCCAGGGAGAAGCAGCAACAUGUGACUUUAGUGACCUGUGUGCUACCACCCUUACCUUUGUCUCCCAUGCUACCUGAAUAUAAAGAGGGGGAUAGUUUAAGAGAAAAUAUUUCAGUAAAAGCGGUUUAAAAAGAAGUAGAAAAGAAACAGAUGUCUUCUUGCUGAUUUAGCCCUGCCCUCUCACCUGCCUCCCAAGCCGGAGGAGAGGAUCUUUCCAAGAGUCCAGAGGAAAAGAAAACAGCAGCACAGUUGCAUAGUAUAUGAAGGCCUAAAGUAUGUCGGCCUCGCUAUGGUGAAUUAAAAGAAAAAGAUAUUGACUGAGGAAAAGGCUGUGUGGACAAAUUUUAUAUCGUCAGAAUUAUUAGAAAAGGUCCUUAUGGAUAAGUUUACAAGGUUGGGGAGAAGACAUUGGAGACACGGUUGCCUUAAAAAAAAAAAAGCUUCCAGACUGUCCUCGCCUUAGGUGAAGGUGUUUGACCCCCGUCCUCGGAAGUAGCCUGACAGCCUCUUAGCUGUCUCUCAGCCGCCGCCACGUUCAGCCGCCUCUCAGCAGCCGCCUUUGCCAACGCAACCAAGCAAGUGGAGGAGGCCCAAUACCAAUACUUCAGAAGGUGACACCCAGGCUCUGUCCUGCCUCCCGGCGUCUCUGGGCCCAGAAGAUGGUUGAAAAUUGUAGAAUUAAUCAUUCGUCAAAAUUAAAUGAAGAACAGGUGCUGUGCUAAGUGAAGAACUGCUGUGAUUCAUUGUCAGGAAAAGGAAAUUACCAUCCACCUUAAUAUGAAGUAGAUGAGGCCAUUGUCUGGAGUUUGUGAAAAUGAAAAUAAAGAGAAACUCUCCAAACAGCUUAUUCCUCUGGGAGAAAAGAACAGG